rnacentral:rRNA from 1 species
UACGGAGGGGGCUAGCGUUGUUCGGAAUUACUGGGCGUAAAGCGCGCGUAGGCGGACCUGCAAGUCGGGGGUGAAAGCCCGAGGCUCAACCUCGGAACUGCCUUCGAUACUGCGGGUCUCGAGUCCGGGAGAGGUGAGUGGAAUUCCGUAGUGUAGAGGUGAAAUUCGUAGAUAUUAGGAAGAACACCAGUGGCGAAGGCGGCUCACUGGCCCGGGUACUGACGCUGAGGCGCGAAAGCGUGGGGAGCAAAGCAGG